rnacentral:rRNA from 1 species
UACGGGGGGGCAAGCGUUGUUCGGAAUUACUGGGCGUAAAGGGCUCGUAGGCGCCAACUAAGUCAGACGUGAAAUCCCUCGGCUUAACCGGGGAACUGCGUCUGAUACUGGUUGGCUUGAAUCCGGGAGAGGGAUGUGGAAUUCCAGGUGUAGCGGUGAAAUGCGUAGAUAUCUGGAGGAACACCGGUGGCGAAGGCGGCAUCCUGGACCGGUAUUGACGCUGAGGAGCGAAAGCCAGGGGAGCAAACGGGG